rnacentral:tmRNA from 1 species
GGGGGCGAAAGGUUUCGACCGAGUAACUGGAUGCAAAAGUUGCACUCUGAGGUCGUCAGGAGGCCUCAUAAAACACCUGACAAAAACUUAAAUGCUGAUAAUGAACUAGCAUUGGCUGCGUAAAACCGGCCGCGUCUUUUCAUUCCUCUCCUGCGGGAUUGACUUGGCGAAAAAUAGCAGGAUAGUUAAACCUUUUCGCUCAAAGGGGGUUUGACGAAACUUUAUUUUGAGAUAGCGGUAUUGAAGGCCUGUCUGUCGGCAUUCAAUACGGCGAAAUUAAAAGAUAGACUAUGUGUGUAGACGCUUUUGCUGAAAUACUUUGGGACGCGGGUUCGAUUCCCGCCGCUUCCACCA